rnacentral:rRNA from 1 species
UACGUAGGGUGCGAGCGUUGUCCGGAAUUAUUGGGCGUAAAGGGCUCGUAGGCGGUCUGUCACGUCGGGAGUGAAAACACGGGGCUUAACCCCGUGCCUGCUUCCGAUACGGGCAGACUAGAGGUAUGCAGGGGAGAACGGAAUUCCUGGUGUAGCGGUGAAAUGCGCAGAUAUCAGGAGGAACACCGGUGGCGAAGGCGGGUCUCUGGGCCGAUAUUGACGCUGAGGAGCGAAAGCGUGGGGAGCGAACAGG